rnacentral:rRNA from 1 species
UGGAGAGUUUGAUCCUGGCUCAGGAUGAACGCUGGCGGCGUGCCUAAUACAUGCAAGUCGAGCGAAUGGAUUAAGAGCUUGCUCUUAUGAAGUUAGCGGCGGACGGGUGAGUAACACGUGGGUAACCUGCCCAUAAGACUGGGAUAACUCCGGGAAACCGGGGCUAAUACCGGAUAAYAUUUUGAACUGCAUGGUUCGAAAUUGAAAGGCGGCUUCGGCUGUCACUUAUGGAUGGACCCGCGUCGCAUUAGCUAGUUGGUGAGGUAACGGCUCACCAAGGCAACGAUGCGUAGCCGACCUGAGAGGGUGAUCGGCCACACUGGGACUGAGACACGGCCCAGACUCCUACGGGAGGCAGCAGUAGGGAAUCUUCCGCAAUGGACGAAAGUCUGACGGAGCAACGCCGCGUGAGUGAUGAAGGCUUUCGGGUCGUAAAACUCUGUUGUUAGGGAAGAACAAGUGCUAGUUGAAUAAGCUGGCACCUUGACGGUACCUAACCAGAAAGCCACGGCUAACUACGUGCCAGCAGCCGCGGUA